rnacentral:rRNA from 1 species
GACGAACGCUGGCGGCGUGCUUAACACAUGCAAGUCGAACGGAAAGGCCCUGCUUUUGUGGGGUGCUCGAGUGGCGAACGGGUGAGUAACACGUGAGUAACCUGCCCUUGACUUUGGGAUAACUUCAGGAAACUGGGGCUAAUACCGGAUAGGAGCUCCUGCUGCAUGGUGGGGGUUGGAAAGUUUCGGCGGUUGGGGAUGGACUCGCGGCUUAUCAGCUUGUUGGUGGGGUAGUGGCUUACCAAGGCUUUGACGGGUAGCCGGCCUGAGGGGGUGACCGGCCACAUGGGGACUGAGAGACGGCCCAGACUCCUACGGGAGGCAGCAGGGGGGAAUAUUGCACAAUGGGCGGAAGCCUGAUGCAGCAACGCCGCGUGCGGGAUGACGGCCUUCGGGUUGUAAACCGCUUUCGCCUGUGACGAAGCGUGAGUGACGGUAAUGGGUAAAGAAGCACCGGCUAACUACGUG